rnacentral:rRNA from 1 species
CACGUAGGGCGCAAGCGUUGUCCGGAAUUAUUGGGCGUAAAGAGCUCGUAGGCGGACUGUCACGUCUGCUGUGAAAAGCUGGGGCUUAACCCUGGCCUUGCAGUGGAUACGGGCAGACUAGAGGUAGGUAGGGGAGAAUGGAAUUCCCGGUGUAGCGGUGAAAUGCGCAGAUAUCGGGAGGAACACCAGUAGCGAAGGCGGCUCUCUGGACCUCUGCUGACGCUGAGGCGCGAAAGCGUGGGGAGCGAUCCGG